AUUGAACGCUGGCGGCAGGCCUAACACAUGCAAGUCGAGCGAGCGGCGGACGGGUGAGUAAUGUAUGGGGACUUCCCGAUAGAGGGGGAUAACUACUGGAAAAGGUAUCUAAUACCGCAUACUAUCGGAUAACCCAUAUGGGAUGAGAUAGUCGGUGGGGUAAUGGCUCACCUAGGCGACGAUCCCUAGCUGGUCUGAGAGGAUGAUCAGCAACACGGGUAAUGAGACACGGCCCAGACUCCUACGGAGGCAGCAGGGGGGAAUAUUGCACAAGGGGCGCAAGCCUGAUACAGCCAUGCCGCGUGUAUGAAGAAGGCCCGAGGGUUGUAAAGUAUUUUCAGUCGGGAGGCGUUACCGACAGAAGAAGCACCGGCUAACUCCGUGCCAGCAGCCGCGGUAAUAC
rnacentral:rRNA from 1 species